AUCAAUUCCUUCCGCUUAUUCAAUGUAUCUUUCUCAAUACUUUCAACCGUCCAUUCAUUCCGCCCAAUGUUCUUUAACGCUUCUGCUUCUAUGGGUUUCACAAUUCAAUCCCUUUAAUGUGCAAAGGGAAGAAAUAUUUGGAUCCUUCUCAUAUGACACUUCUAUUUUUUGGUGGAGAGGUUGAGAAACAUUUAUGAAUGUUGCUUUUGGAUGGAUCAAUGUGAAGGAUGUUGCAAACGCGUAUAUUCUGGCAAAUGGACAUGCUUUGGAUAAUGGAAGAUAUUGUUUGGUUGAAAGAGUGAUACAUUUCUCUAAACUGAAAUUGAUGGAAACAAAUAUGGGAAUGCUCUUAUAUGACAGGAUAAUAUCUUAGCUGGUGUUCUUAUCGAUGAAAAGAAAGAUAUUAUCUUAGCUAUUACAACUUACAAGUGUUCUCUCUAAGGAAUUUUCAGAAUAUUUAUAUAUUGACAUGGAAUUUUCUUCAUUGAGUUUGAUGAUUCAUAGCUUUUAGGCUACAAUAUGUGCCUUAUU